AACGAACGCUGGCGGCAGGCUUAACACAUGCAAGUCUAGCGCCCCGCAAGGGGAGCGGCAGACGGUUGAGUAACGCGUGGGAAUCUACCAAUCUCUACGGAAUAACGCAUGGAAACGUGUGCUAAUACCGUAUACGUACUUCGGGAGAAAGAUUUAUCGGAGAUGGAUGAGCCCGAGUUGGAUUAGCUAGUUGGUGGGGGAAAGGCCUACCAAGGCUACGAUCCAUAGCCGGUCUGAGAGGAUGAGUAGCCACACUGGGACUGAGACACGGCCCAGACUCCUACGGGAGGAAGCAGUGGGGAAUAUUGGACAAUGGGCGCAAGCCUGAUCCAGCCAUGCCGCGUGAGUGAUGAAGGCCCUAGGGUUGUAAAGCUCUUUCACCGGUGAAGAUAAUGACGGUAACCGGAGAAGAAGCCCCGGCUAACUUCGUGCCAGCCGCCGCAGUAACAC
rnacentral:rRNA from 1 species